UUGGAGGGCAAGUCUGGUGCCAGCAGCCGCGGUAAUUCCAGCUCCAAUAGCGUAUAUUAAAGUUGUUGCAGUUAAAAAGCUCGUAGUUGAAUUUUGGAUUCUGCCAGUUGGUCCAUCUUUUGAUGAGUACUGAUUGUGGGGGGUCUAUCCGCCUGGGGAGACGUAAUGUACUUUAUUGUAUGUUACGGGUAGCCAGGACCUUUACCUUGAAAAAAUUAGAGUGUUUAAAGCAGGCUUAUGCCGGAAUACAUUAGCAUGGAAUAAUAGAAUAGGACGAAGUUGUUUUAUUUUGUUGGUUUCUAGGACAACCGUAAUGAUUAAUAGGGAUAGUUGGGGGCAUUAGUAUUCAAUUGUCAGAGGUGAAAUUCUUGGAUUUAUUGAAGACUAACUUCUGCGAAAGCAUUUGCCAAGGAUGUUUUCAUUAAUCAAGAACGAAAGUUAGGGGAUCGAAGACGAUCAGAUACCGUCGUAGUCUUAACCAUAAACUAUGCCGACUAGGGAUCGGACGAUGUUAAUUUUUUAAUGACUCGUUCGGCGCCUUACGGGAAAC
rnacentral:rRNA from 1 species